UGAGGAUUUGGGGACAGCUGCUGUCCUGAACAGCUGAGCUCGUCAUUAUCUGCCUAGUUUCCCGCAGCCCUUCCUCUUAGUCCAGCAGAACAGCAGUAGCAAUGAUCACCUUCUCUCCCACAAAAUUAAUCUGCACUCAUUAAUGAAGGGAGACAAAAAUUGAUCAACCUUGGCUGGGGUCAUCCCUCCAUCAAAUCCAUCUUGUCCUCUUGGUUUCUGCGGUUCAUCAUCUCCUCCAGCCUCCUCCUGCCAUGCAUGGAGACAGAAAGGAUUUUCAGCCAGUGAUGAGUGACACUUUUCCCACUGGGAAAGGCACCAGGGAGAUCCUUCACUGCUCUCUCCAGUGCAGGCCUCAGGCUUCACCUGACACAGCGUUUCAGUGAAUAAGACACAUCAGUGAAUGGUGAUUUGCAACUAUGUGAAAUCCUUACAGCAGUUUAUUCUUGGAGUUUUGUGCUUCUUUAAACAUCCUUUAAAGCAAGUAAAGCUGUGGCAAUGUAAGAAUGGUUAAAUUAUCCUUAUGGGGAUCUCCAAAGAUCAAAACAACCCUUGGGAUUAUUACCCAUUUCCCAGGACUGCAUUGUUGUUGGAUUCUUCACUGGGAUGUGACCAAUUGUGCUGGCAUGAUGAGUGACACCAGUGUGGAUGCUUUGUUUGGGUUGCCACUGGUGCUUUUGGGAAGAUGUCAGGCCAUUUUUCCACACAGAUGUCUUCCUGGUGUUCAUCCCUGUCCCUUUGUAGCAAGUGCAGGCACCUGACAGAGUGCCCUGCUCUGGGAUAUAUGGUGCACACACAGAUUUAGUGGCCACAAGUACCCAAUGUCCUGCAGAGAGCAGCAGCACAGGACCUGGUGCCAAAUCUGUCCUCUGGAAAAUGCCUGGGAGUUACCUUCUUCCUCCCAGUAGCAAGGGAGUUUGUGUCUGGCUGCAGAUAUCUGACAUUUCUAUUGCCACCCCACAGAUCUGAGCCCUUCAUCCAUGUUACCAGAAUUUCCUGCAAACUCAGCUUCUGGUUAUUAAGUCCCUUCUGUGGAUGAUCCACCCCCACUUCAGAUGGUGGUAUUAGACAGAGCUUUCUUGUUGCUGUUUUAGAUGGAUACACACCACCUCCUUCCUUGAUUUGUUAUUUAUUUAUCAUUCCUUGUGUGCUGGAUGUAUGAAAAGAGCAUUGAAUUGCAGAGCCUGUGAACCUUUAGCGCCACUGAGCAGUGACGUUCCUGCAGCUCCCAAUUAUGUGACAGCAUUUGCUCUUGUGCAGUCAGGGUCCGAGUCAGGCUUUUCCUUGAUGUAAGCCUUUUAGGUCAGGCUUUUACUGCCAAUUUAUAUCGCUCCUAUGGCCAAAGCACAUCACAGUUCUACUCUGCCUUGGAUAUGGAACACCACAAGCCUCUGCUCUCUGUAAGGUCUGG